GAGGGUGUAGCUCAGUGGUAGAGUGCGUGCUUAGCAUGCAAAAAGUCCUGGGUUCAAUCCCCAGUACCUCCA
rnacentral:tRNA from 1 species